AGGUUAACCGUAUAGGGGAGCCGUAGAGAAAUCGAGUCUUAAUAGGGCGUUUAGUUGCUGGGUAUAGACCCGAAACCAGGCGAUCUAUCCAUGAGCAGGUUGAAGGUUGGGUAACACUAACUGGAGGACCGAACCCACUGUCGUUGAAAAGCCAGGGGAUGACUUGUGGAUAGGGGGGAAAGGCUAAUCAAGCCUGGUGAUAGCUGGUUCUCCCCGAAAGCUAUUUAGGUAGCGC
rnacentral:rRNA from 1 species